CCUACGGGGGGCAGCAGUAGGGAAUCUUCCGCAAUGGACGAAAGUCUGUCGGAGCAACGCCGCGUGAGCGAAGAAGGUCUUCGGAUCGUAAAGCUCUGUUGUUAGGGAAGAACAAGUACGGGAGGAAAUGACCGUACCUUGACGGUACCUAACGAGGAAGCCACGGGUAACUACGUGCCAGCAGCCGCGGUAAUACGUAGGUGGAAAGCGUUGACCGGAAUUAUUGGGCGUAAAGCGUGCGCAGAGGGUCUUUUAAGUCUGAUGUGAAAUCUUGCGGCUCAACCGCAGGCGGUCAUGGGAAACUGGGAUAAUUGAGUGCAGAAGAGGAAAGCGGAAAUCCACGUGUAGCGGGGAAAGGCGUAUAGAUGUGGAGGAACACCAGUGGCGAAGGCGGCUUUCUGUUCUGUAGCUGACGCUGAGGCGCGAAAGCGUGAGGAGCAGACAGGUUUAGAUACCCCUGUAGUC
rnacentral:rRNA from 1 species